UAAAAUUGUCCCAAGAGAAAC
rnacentral:piRNA from 1 species